GAUGAAGAACGCAGCGAAAUGCGAUACGUAAUGUGAAUCGCAGAUUUCAGUGAAUCAUCGAAUCUUUGAACGCACAUUGCGCCCGCUAGUAUUCUGGCGGGCAUGCCUGUUCGAGCGUCAUUUCAACCAUCAAGCCCUAGGCUUGCGUUGGAGCCCUGCGGCUGCCGCAGGCUCCCAAAUCCAGUGGCGGGCUCGUCGUCGUACCGAGUGCAGUAAACAUCCUCGCUCAGGGAACGUGACGGGUUCUUGCCGUGAAACCCCCCACAUAUCAAGGUUGACCUCGGAUCAGGUAGGAAUACCCGCUGAACUUAAGCAUAUAAUAAGCGGAGA
rnacentral:misc_RNA from 1 species